rnacentral:rRNA from 1 species
CGGGACGGGGUGGAGUAAUGUCUGGGAAACGUGCCUGAUGGAGGGGGAUAACUGCUGGAAACGGUAGCUAAUACCGCAUAACGUCGCAAGACCAAAGAGGGGGACCUUCGGGCCUCUUACCAUCGGAUGUGCCCAGAUGGGAUUAGCUAGUAGGUGGGGUAACGGCUCACCUAGGCGACGAUCCCUAGCUGGUCUGAGAGGAUGACCAGCCACACUGGAACUGAGACACGGUCCAG